rnacentral:sRNA from 1 species
ACGCCGUACAUUUAGCGUUGAGGUCCCC